rnacentral:rRNA from 1 species
GACGAACGCUGGCGGCGUGCCUAAUACAUGCAAGUCGAGCGAAGUUUUUCUGGUACUUGCACUAGAAAAACUUAGCGGCGAACGGGUGAGUAACACGUAAAGAACCUGCCUCAUAGACUGGGACAACUAUUGGAAACGAUAGCUAAUACCGGAUAACAGUAUUUCUCGCAUGAGAGAUAUUUAAAAGUUGGUUAUGCUAACACUAUGAGAUGGCUUUGCGGUGCAUUAGCUAGUUGGUGGGGUAAAGGCCCACCAAGGCGACGAUGCAUAGCCGACCUGAGAGGGUGAUCGGCCACACUGGGACUGAGACACGGCCCAGACUCCUACGGGAGGCAGCAGUAGGGAAUCUUCCGCAAUGGGCGAAAGCCUGACGGAGCAACGCCGCGUGAGUGAAGAAGGAUUUCGGUUCGUAAAGCUCUGUUGUUAGGGAAGAAUGGAUAUGUAGUAACUAUACAUGUAAGAGACGGUACCUAACCAGAAAGCCACGGCUAA